UGCAGUCGAACGAUGAAGCCGCUUCGGUGGUGGAUUAGUGGCGAACGGGUGAGUAACACGUGGGCAAUCUGCCCUUCACUCUGGGACAAGCCCUGGAAACGGGGUCUAAUACCGGAUAACACUCUGUCCCGCAUGGGACGGGGUUGAAAGCUCCGGCGGUGAAGGAUGAGCCCGCGGCCUAUCAGCUUGUUGGUGGGGUAAUGGCCUACCAAGGCGACGACGGGUAGCCGGCCUGAGAGGGCGACCGGCCACACUGGGACUGAGACACGGCCCAGACUCCUACGGGAGGCAGCAGUGGGGAAUAUUGCACAAUGGGCGAAAGCCUGAUGCAGCGACGCCGCGUGAGGGAUGACGGCCUUCGGGUUGUAAACCUCUUUCAGCAGGGAAGAAGCGAAAGUGACGGUACCUGCAGAAGAAGCGCCGGCUAACUACGUGCCAGCAGCCGCGGUAAUACGUAGGGCGCAAGCGUUGUCCGGAAUUAUUGGGCGUAAAGAGCUCGUAGGCGGCUUGUCACGUCGGAUGUGAAAGCCCGGGGCUUAACCCCGGGUCUGCAUUCGAUACGGGCUAGCUAGAGUGUGGUAGGGGAGAUCGGAAUUCCUGGUGUAGCGGUGAAAUGCGCAGAUAUCAGGAGGAACACCGGUGGCGAAGGCGGAUCUCUGGGCCAUUACUGACGCUGAGGAGCGAAAGCGUGGGGAGCGAACAGGAUUAGAUACCCUGGUAGUCCACGCCGUAAACGUUGGGAACUAGGUGUUGGCGACAUUCCACGUCGUCGGUGCCGCAGCUAACGCAUUAAGUU
rnacentral:rRNA from 1 species